GAUGAAGAACUCAGUGAAAUGCGAUAAGUAAUGUGAAUUGCAGAAUUCAGUGAAUCAUCGAAUCUUUGAACGCACAUUGCGCCCCUUGGUAUUCCGAGGGGCAUGCCUGUUCGAGCGUCAUUAUAACCCUCAAGCUCAGCUUGGUGUUGGGGCCUGCUGCAGUGGCAGCCCUUAAAAUCAGUGGCGGCGCCAUCUGGCUCUAAGCGUAGUAAUUCUUCUCGCUAUGGAGUCCUGGUGGAUGCUUGCCAUCAACCCCCAAUUUUUCUAUGGUUGACCUCGGAUCAGGUAGGGAUACCCGCUGAACUUAAGCAUAUCAAUAAGCGGAGGA
rnacentral:misc_RNA from 1 species